rnacentral:rRNA from 1 species
ACAUGCCUAAGAAAUAAUUUUAAUGCACCAGAUCCCAUUAUAACUCCACAGUUAAUCACACUCGGGCUAGAGUAGUACUGGGAUGGGUGAAUGCCCGAGAAGUCCUAGUAUUUUACAUGCC